rnacentral:rRNA from 1 species
UACGAAGGGGGCGAGCGUUGUUCGGAUUUACUGGGCGUAAAGGGCGCGCAGGCGGCUUCAUUUUGUCAGGCGUGAAAGCCCCGGGCUUAACCUGGGAACUGCGUUUGAUACGGAUGGGCUAGAGUUCGGGAGAGGAGAGUGGGAAUUCCCAGUGUAGAGGUGAAAUUCGUAGAUAUUGGGAAGAACACCGGUGGCGAAGGCGGCUCUCUGGGACCGAUACGUGACGCGUGAGGCGCGAAAGCGUGGGGAGCGAACGAGG